rnacentral:lncRNA from 1 species
CCAAAUUAGAAUUGUACAAAUAAAAAUUUUCUUUUAAUAUAAAAAUAACUUAAAAAUUUAUCAUUUUACCCUUCAUAUAAAAAAUUUAAAAAUUAUCCAUUAAUAUUUUAAUUGUGAUUUCAAGUGUUUGAACUCGAAUUCACAACCAAGACUAUUUCUGGUAUAUGAAAAAUAAAUGUCACUUAAUAUAUACCUUCAUAGAUAUGUUUGAUCUUUAGUACUACUUUUUACUCAUAUUCUUUCCCUUUUUUGCAAGACAUGUACAAGUCUUAUUCUCUAUAACAACAUAUAUAU